rnacentral:rRNA from 1 species
CCUACGGGUGGCAGCAGUGAGGAAUAUUGGUCAAUGGACGAGAGUCUGAACCAGCCACGUAGCGUGAAGGAUGACUGCUCUAUGGGUUGUAAACUUCUUUUAUAUGGGAAUAAAAUGUUCUAUGUGUGGGAUUUUGUAUGUACCAUAUGAAUAAGGAUCGGCAGACGCGGUGCCAGCAGCCGCGGUAAUACGGAGGAUCCGAGCGUUAUCCGGGUUUAUUGGGUGUAAAGGGUGAGUAGGUGGAUUGUUAAGUCAGUUGUGAAAGUUUGCGGCUCAACCGUAAAAUUGCAGUUGAAACUGGCAGUCUUGAGUACAGGAGAGGUGGGCGGAAUUCGUGGUGUAGCGGUGAAAUGCUUAGAUAUCACGAAGAACACCGAUUGCGAAGGCAGCUGACUGGACUGCAACUGACGCUGAGGCUCGAAAGUGUGGGUAGCAAACAGGAUUAGAUACCCCAGUAGUC